CCUGUCCUGAAUACAUUAGAGCCUCUCCCGUUCCUCUCUCUCUUUCUCUCACAUACUCACUCUCUCAGUGGCUCAGACCAGCUGAACAAUGCAUAGUCCAGGCACUAGGCGUCUAUGGAAGGGAGAGCGAGAAUAGAGCAAGAGAGGAGGGGAGAGAGGGCAGAAUACAUUUUUGUAUGCGGGUAGACUUACAUGUGUAGUCGACUCCGCAUCUCAUUUUUCGGGGAUAAUCUUUGAGGGAACACACAGAGACCAUGGCGAAGAGAGGAGAGGAGUACAGAAGCUCUCGCUCUCUCCAUUACUAGUUUCAUUCUUUCAUUAUUGAAGCUCUCUCUCUCUUUCUUUCUGUGUUCAGCUCUAUUAGACCCUGUGUAUCAGCCGCCACAGGCAAGAAAAAAAUCGGACACGUCUUGUCUUCACAGGGGGGCGUGUAAGUCGUCUGUCAGAAGGCAAUCACGGAGUCCACAGCACUAUAUGAUUACCAGCCAUGUUGAGCCUCAAGGUCAAAGGUCAUCUAAUAGAACAAUUAUUGGGGCCAGAGUUCCUGGACGUGUCUCAAGUGAAUGGCCACACACUCCUUCAUUGAGGUUACGUUUUGGGUGACUACAUUUGACAACUUUUUGGACAAAAAAAUAUUUUCGGUGGGGG
ensembl:lncRNA